UAAGCAAGGUAAGAGGGUCCCCCUGGGAAUUCGGGCCCAGGGAAACUCCCCAGGAGAGCAUUGGGAGGUGGAUUUCACAGAGAUUAAGCCACCAGCAUCAGGGUAUAAGUACCUGCUAGUUUUUAUAGACUCCUUCUUGGGAUGGGUUGAAGCCUAUCCCACCAGGACAGAAACUGCCUCUAUAAUGGUCAAGAAAUUACUCCAGGAGAUUAUACCUAGAUUUGGGCUACCAGCAGUCAUAGAAUCAGAUAACAGCCCCGCCUUUGUAGCCAAAGUAUCUCAAAGUAUAACUCAAGUCUUAGGCAUAAAUUGGAAACUCCAUUGUGCAUACCAGCCACAGAUUCAGGGCAGGUAU